rnacentral:tRNA from 1 species
GGGGAGAUAUCUGAGUGUAAAGUGCUUGUCUUGCAAGCAUGAGGAAUUGAGUUCAAUUCCCAGAAUCCCCA